rnacentral:rRNA from 1 species
UACGGAGGGUGCAAGCGUUGUUCGGAAUUACUGGGCGUAAAGGGCGCGUAGGUGGUUGUGUAAGUCAGAUGUGAAAUCCCCCGGCUCAACCGGGGAACUGCAUUUGAUACUGCAUGACUAGAGUACAGGAGAGGGAAACGGAAUUCCCGGUGUAGAGGUGAAAUUCGUAGAUAUCGGGAGGAACACCGGUGGCGAAGGCGGUUUCCUGGCCUGAUACUGACGCUGAGGCGCGAAAGCGUGGGUAG